UGGGGAAUAUUGCACAAUGGGCGAAAGCCUGAUGCAGCAACGCCGCGUGAGCGAAGAAGGUCUUCGGAUCGUAAAGCUCUGUCCUUGGGGAAGAUAAUGACGGUACCCUUGGAGGAAGCCUCGGCUAACUACGUGCCAGCAGCCGCGGUAAUACGUAGGGGGCAAGCGUUAUCCGGAUUUACUGGGUGUAAAGGGAGCGUAGGCGGUUUGGCAAGUCAGAAGUGAAAGCCCAAGGCUUAACCAUGGGACUGCUUUUGAAACUGUCAGACUGGAUUGCAGGAGAGGUAAGUGGAAUUCCUGGCGUAGCGGUGAAAUGCGUAGAUAUCAGGAGGAACACCGGUGGCGAAGGCGGCUUACUGGACUGUAAAUGACGCUGAGGCUCGAAAGCGUGGGGAGCAAACAGGAUUAGAUACCCUGGUAGU
rnacentral:rRNA from 1 species